AUGAUGGUGUUAAAUAUCAUAACAAAAAUAAGAAAGAAAAUAAUAACUUAAGAAAUCAUCAAAAACAGAUGUCUUCGAGAGGCUCCCUGAAUGACAUGAAUUACAAUAGGCCUACCACUAACACAAAAAGAAAGAGAAAGAGCGACAAUGCAAAAAAGGCGAGCCCAUGUUGCCAUUGCAAAGACAAUGGCACCGAGUGUCUAACACCUGAUUGCGAAUGCUUUGCAAGAGAAAUGUUUUGCUGCGAAGAAUGUGGGUGUGAUCAUGAAGACUGCUUCAACACUCCUUUGUAUGAGGACACUGUUGAUGUUGCCAAAGAACAAAUUCGAUCCAUAAAUCCCUUAGCUUUUGAUCAAAAAAUUGUACUUUUGUAACUCUUUAAUUAAUUUUCUACGCACACUCAUAUAUAUUUAUAUAUAGUUUUAACAUAUAUAUACACACACAUUGAUUAGUUAUAUGCAGGUAAGAGGAGCAUGCAACUGCAUUGAGUCAUCCUGUCAAAAACUUGAUUGUCCAUGCUUGCGGGUUCACUUUCAUAAACACAUAUAUUAUUUUUCUUUUACUCAAAUUAAAUUAAAAUCAUAAGAUAUAUAUAGUUAUUAAUAAUUAAAUUGAAUAUUGUUCUUUUAUAUUAAUAUAUUUAUAGGCAGGAGUUCCUUGCAUUGAAGCAUGUCAUUGUCAAAUUUGUUGUAAUCCUUAUGGCCAAAGUCCAGAUCAAAGAUGACCAACUGAUGGGAAACAUUAUUGUUACAGAUGCAAGUUCGAGGGUUUACUAAUUUCACAUCAACAGUCAACAUAUUGGAAUCAAAAUUGGUGUCAACCAUUAAAUAACCAUGGAAAUUAUAUAAUAAUGGCUAUUUUCAGGGCCUUACUUAUGUGAAUUUUAUUUAGUGUGGCUGAACUCUUACUAAGCUUUUUGGAUUGUCAAAUUUCAAAUUCAGUUUCUUGAA